rnacentral:rRNA from 1 species
GACGUAGGGCGCGAGCGUUGUCCGGAUUUAUUGGGCGUAAAGAGCUCGUAGGCGGUUUGUCGCGUCUGCUGUGAAAACUCGGGGGCUUAACCCCGGGCCUGCAGUGGGUACGGGCAGACUAGAGUGCGGUAGGGGAGACUGGAAUUCCUGGUGUAGCGGUGAAAUGCGCAGAUAUCAGGAGGAACACCGGUGGCGAAGGCGGGGUCUCUGGGCCGUAACUGACGCUGAGGAGCGAAAGCGUGGGGAGCGAACAGG